AAAAUGUCAUCCGUGAGAGAUGCUGGGUCUUACUGUACUUUAGAUAACCUGUGACUUCUUUGAAUGAGCAUCUGGGCAAUAAGUUCAUGCCCUUUCUAUAUAAUCAGAGAUCUGGUAUUGCUGCUUAAGGCUCUAGAAACUUGUUAAUGUUCAGAAUGUAGCCAACAGUUUCAAAUUUGGUUAUGCUUCUUGUUGCUGUGCUUUGGAUUGAAAAGGUCGGCUCACAGAAGGGUAAAACCCUUCCAGUGCAUGUGAGUGCUCUUUACAUAUUACACCUACAUCUUAUAAACUUAGUCUGAGUCUUGUAAGUCCUCUCGCAUCACAGAAAACUCUUUUCCAUAUCUGACUCAGUUUUGUAUCUCUGAGAGUAGACUGACAUUUCCAGUCUCAAGCUAGAAAUGGAAAAGGCCCAUUCUCUAUAAUUCCUCCUGGAGACCAUGGAGCAUGAGGUAUAUCUCGAGGUAGCCUCAAAUCCUUGGAAAUUUGAGAGGUUUGAGUCAUUAAUACUCUGGAUAGUUUGGGUCCAAAUCCGGCUAGUGACCUUUAGAGAAAGAGCCUUUUCGCGCAGAGAUCUAAGAAUAUGAUGUCAUAGUAUUACAACAUGAUGAUUAUCCAUGCUAUAUUAUCGAGGUAUUUAGUUCCAAGUAACACAAAAAAUGAACUCAUAUUAGCUUAAAAAAACUAUGAGCUCACUGAAGGAAGGGCAGGAGAUGACAGGAACUCCAGGAGCUUUACACCGUUGGGACAUUCUUCCUCUUCUACAUCUCCUCUCAGGCUGGCUGCCCACAAGCCAGAUCCAUGGCAACAAACAUCACUAGACUUUUAUUUUUAAAACCUCCAAACCAGAGAAGACAGCUCCUGCCCCUCUGAAGGAGUAAUUCUUUUUUGGAGGUACAUCUGUGGGUCUUCAGAAAACUGUGGCUUUAAGAUGUAGUCUAUUUUCCUCAGGAGCUUCCCAGUCCAAAUGUCACACAGAUAUGACAAAGAAUUCUGCAAUAUGUACUCCUCCUGCUCAUGGGUCCUGGGAGAUAUGUGCAUGAGUUUCUCUAGGGUACGUACCAAGCAGUGGAUCAACCACAUCGAAGGGUUUGUACGUCAUUUAAACUCCUGAGAGCACUGAAGAAAAGUUCACUCCACAUCCUCACCAUCACUUGGAUGUUCGAAGCCAUUAAAAUUUCAGUGUGGUUUUUGCUUUUUAAUAUUGUGCAAUUGAAUAUAAAUACUUGCAAAUGAUAGAGAUGGCAUAGGCCUUUGAACUAAAUGAACAGUAGGUGAAGUUAUCUGAACGAGCUUCUCCCCACCCCUGGGUGCG
rnacentral:lncRNA from 1 species